UUCUGUCCUCUUUGUGUUUCAGUACGAGUACGCUCUGAGACAUCUGUAGCUCUGGUCAACCUGUGUGAGAGAGGAUACUCUGCAGACAGCAUCCAGACGGCCAUGGACGCCACGUGUCACUUCAGAGAGUAAAGGACUUUCUGCAAACCAAUGAAAAAUCUCAAACCAAACGUCUUCCUGCGUGGAAGGCCCAGAAGACGACCAGCUUCUCUUUGCACUGCUUAGGAAUCAAUCUGACAUGGAGUUGACCGUAUCAUUAUUUUAUCAACACACUAACACUUUUUUUUUUUUUUUUUUACUUGAGAAUUUUAAACUUGUUUUAUGAUGAGAUGCACUCUUGCUGUGAAGAUUGUUGGAUAUUUAACUGCUUCUGAUUGUUUUGAGGACACAAUGAUUGCAUGGACUGUUGAACAUUUGGUUUGCUCUCAGCUUUACGUGUUUCAUGCACAUGUGAAGGACAAACUACUGAACAGAGAAUGUUUUCUGAAACCUCAAGACAUGUAGUAACAGGGAUCUUAAAAUCCUAAAUAAAUCAACCAAAACUCUGAAAA